rnacentral:lncRNA from 12 species
CAGUGGGAGGACUCUCAUGGCAAGAGAGUAAAACACAUCUUCAGCAUCAGGUGCCAAAGAUGGUGAUAAUUCUCUCAACAUACUCCAUCAUCAAACACAACAACGGCAG